AUGGUUUUAUCUUAUAUCCGGUUACUCCAAACCAGAUAUUAAUGGCGCCUACACUCUGCGAAAAUCGCCGGCGAUCGAAGAAAAGCUUUCACUCGCGACGAAUCUUCAUGGAGACGUCGAGGCUACCGCUCUCGUCCACCGAUCUCGCUCGAGUGUGUCGGCUUCUUCGUCUUCCAACUUUGAGCAUCUUCCCCAAAUUUUCACCUCUUUCUUCUCUCAUGGAUGCUUCGAAUCUCGGUUCUUCCAGCAAACCGGCCUUCUCUUCCUUCUCACAAUCCAGCAGAAGCGGCGGUAGAGGAAGAGGAAACGAGAGAGAUAAUGAUCGUCGGAGGCCUCAGGGUCGUGGUGGCGGCAGAGGAGGAGGAGGAGGCAAUGAUAGAAUCGAUGCUCUUGGAAGACUCUUGACGAGAAUCUUGAGACACAUGGCUACUGAGCUGAGACUGAACAUGAGAGGUGAUGGUUUUGUUAUAGUUGAAGACUUGCUUAACCUGAAUCUUAAAACGUCUGCAAACGCUCCCUUGAAGUCUCAUACCAUUGAUGAAAUUAGAGAGGCAGUGAGAAGGGACAAUAAGCAACGUUUUAGCCUCGUUGAAGAGAACGGAGAGCUCUUGAUUCGCGCUAACCAAGGCCACUCUAUCACGACAGUUGAAUCUGAAAAGUUACUUAAACCAAUAAUGUCACCGGAAGAAGCUCCAGUGUGUGUGCAUGGAACAUAUAGGAAGAAUUUGGAAUCCAUCUUAGCAUCUGGUUUAAAGCGUAUGAAUAGGAUGCACGUUCAUUUUUCUUGUGGCUUACCAACAGAUGGUGAAGUGAUAAGUGGCAUGAGAAGAGAUGUUAAUGUCUUGAUCUUUCUCGACAUCAAAAAAGCUCUUGAAGAUGGGAUUGCAUUCUACAUUUCGGACAACAAGGUUAUUUUGACUGAAGGUGUUGAUGGUGUAGUGCCUGUUGAUUACUUCCAAAAGAUUGAGUCUUGGCCUAGUCGGCAACCAAUUCCUUUCUGAUUUCUUGUUUAUACAAUACGUUCAAUAAAUUUUUUUAUUGGACCAUAUUUGUGACUUAACAGAUAUACAAUUGUUACCACCUUAGUAUUUAAUAACCUAUGUUGUUCAUGUGGUCUUGAAUUCUGGAAAAAAACGUUUGCAGAAACAAUACAUUUAAUUAUUCACGUUUCUUGUCUACUCUUUUAUAGUUUUUCAUCACCAAUACUCGAUCACUAGCAUCCUCCAAAAAGUAGAAAUGAUAGGGGUUUUUAAAUGGGUCUUCAGAGUAGAGCAGAUAAGGUAAAAUUCCCAAAAUGGUUUGGAGGUUUCUUAACCUAGCAGGAACAGUCAGAUGUCUACUCUAUCGUAAGAGCAAUCUUCGGAUGCUCCACCUGAUUCCAUGUGAAAACAUUCCGAAAUGGCAUCUUUCUUCAUGCAUUCUCUUUUCACUUUUUUUUACCUAUUCUAGAUCUGAAAUUAUCAAGAAAAUAUUAAGAAGACUUAUAAAAGCACUAAAAUACCAGCAGAAUACUUAUAUAUAUAUAUAUAUAUAUAUAUAUAUAUAAUAGUGUCAAAAACACCAUAUAUCAGUGGGUUGUGUCGAUUCUUCUUCGGUGGAACAAUCGAAAGACAACAGCGACGAACGGCAGAGGGAAAUGAGAUUAGGUUUAGAGGUUAAGGAAAUGACAAACUUUGCGUUCGAGUUUCGUACCGGAGGAGGUAGCUUGUGGAGAAACUGCUUUAGUAAACAUAAAUUAAAUUAAAUUAUUUCAUCUGUUGAGAUAUAUUAGAACUAUUAGUAGAAUGUCCACUUUGAGUAUAAAAGGCAAAUUCCGCAUAUAUUUACUUUUGAUUUUCCUUCCAAAACGUUUUAUACUAAUUAGAGUUAGACUUCUUUUUAUAUAUUAGACUUUUUUUUUUGUAACUUGCGAUGUGAGACUUAAAUUGAAAUCUUUCAUUAGCGAUAAAAUUAUAUAUCUUAAGGAUGGAAAUACCAUAUGAGUUUCAGCAGCUGCUGGUAGAUGAUUGUUUUUAGGAAGUAGUGUCCAAUUACAAACAAGAUUUAUCUCUUGGUUAGCCUUUUUUCGUCUAUUUUACCUAUUUUAAGUUUAAGAAUUGUCUCUAAUUACCUAAAUCAUAGAUGUGUAUUUCAAUUCUUGUGGUUAAACUUUAUUGUAGGAUGAAAGUAAAAGACUAAACUAACCAUCGUGUCAUUAUAAAUAGAAAUUCAUCUUAGGCUCAGUUCCUCGUACAACACACAUAAUAUAUCUUCAAACUAAAAAAAAAAGGAAAGGAGAAAAAGUAAAAAAGUAAAAUAUAGCAUGGCUAAGUUUGCUUCCAUCAUCACCUUCCUCUUCGUUGUUCUUAUUAUCUUUUCUGCUUUUGAAGCACCAACGAUUGUGGAAGGGCAGAGGUCAUGCAAGAGGCAGCCUAAUUCAGGGAGAAAAUAUUGUAUGAAGGAUAGUGAAUGCCGGAAGGUUUGCAUCGAAGCCGAGAAAGCAACACGUGCUACUUGUGAUUAUACAUUCCCAAGGCGCCGGUGUUUCUGCCACUUUCCAUGUCAAUAAACAGAGCCGUUCCAAGACAUUUUUAUGCUCUAUGCCAAAUAAAUAUUACUAGAUGACUUUCUGCGAUAUCGCGGGAUAAAGUCCAUUUCAAUAUUAUUAUAAUAAGUUUUCUAUAUCAUUGAAUAUAAAAAUUUCGAUUAAUUAAAUUUUUGAUAAAAAUUAAUGAAUAUUUUUGAUAGGUUAAUAAUGUAAGAAUAACUUUAAAUUUUAUUACAAUAUAUUAACCAUUUUACAUUAUUUUUUUCAUAAUUUUGAAAAAUUACAAAUUAAAAAGAUAAACUAUCAUAUAUGAGUUGUGAUAUUAUCUAGUACUAGGUGCUGAGACCCCACGCAAGCGCGGGGCUGGUUACUUUGGAUAUCGGUGGGGCGGUAUGAUUUACGGGAUGUUGGUAUUGUUUAAGAUUUGUGCAAAUUAAAGAAUAAAAUUUAUCGGAAAUAAGACAACAAAAUUGAUCCUAGCUUUUGACGAUUAACUCAAGUUAGAGACAUCUCCCAAAACGGAAGAAAAAUUCAAAAAGUAUAAUUAAGGUAAAACAUAGAGAAUGUGAAAAAUGCAUAAACAUGAAACAGAGAGCGUGGAACAACGGAAAGGGAAAGAGAAGAAGAUGAAGAAGCUUACGUCAGGUAUAUGAAAAUUAAAAAGACAGAUAUUGUGACAGCGCAGCACCAACUUAUUUGGGGGUCCAUAUCAAGUUAUCAACUCUGUAUAUAUCCGUUGUUUGAAUAAAUACUCAAAAUUUCAAACUACUUGCAUUACAAAAUUAUUUUAUUUUUUCAAAAUACACAUUGUUUGCUAGUACUUAUUAGGGAGCUCAAGGACCGUAGUAGCAUAUAACCAUUUUAACACAUAUUUUUCAUAAUUAUGAAAAAUUACAAAUUAUAAAGAUAAACUAUCAUAUAUGAGUUGUGAUAUUAUCUAUUAUUUAUGGUAAAUUCAUAAAAUUCUAAAUUUGAAAAUAUUCUAUUAUAUUACUUAGAUAUAAUAUAGAUUUAUUUGGAAAUUUUAAUAUUUGUUAAUCAUUAGGUUUCGUUUUGUACACAAAUAAUCAACAAUAUAAAAUUAAUUUCAAGACAUUCUAAAAUAUAACUUCAGAGUUUGCAUAAACAAUUUAAAGAAAUUUGUAUGUUUAUUUAAUUUUAUAUUAGAUAUAAUAUACUAAUUAACAAAGUUAAGGGUCUAAUACAUCUAUGAAUUCAGAUAAUUGGAAGAAGCUUUAGAAUAUAGAUCAUUUUGUUUGUCUUAAAGCUACAUAUUCAUAUUCUGAUAAAGAAGAAAAUCAUGUAAACUAAAAUCAAAUAUUAUAUUAUUCAUUAUAGCAAACUAUAAAAAUAAACUAAUACAUAACAGAAUAUGAAGCCACAUAUUCUAUAAAAAUAUUAUUUGAAAAAAAUCUUCAAGCAAUUGCAGUUUACUCCAUAUUUUUAAGCAACCAAGGUGCUGGGCUAGUAGACUCGCUGGAAAAAAAAUAAUAUUAUAGAAAUUAUGUUAUAUAGAUAAACUUAUAUAAUUUUUAAAUUAAUAGAUAUUUCAUUUUCAUUUAUGUUUUAAAGGGAAAACAUGUAGUAAAAAAUCAUUUACAUAUAUAGAAUUCAGAAAAUAUUUCUUUUUAUUAUUUAUAUGUUUUCAAAAAAGAUAAUUUAAAUGAAAAGAUAAUUUAAACUAUAUUAAUAGAAAAAAAUUAAGUACUGACAAUUAUGUAUAAUUUUAAUUCAUAAAGGGUAUUCGUAUAAUUGACUUUUUGAGGAUAAAUAUAAGUGUGACACGUAUGAAACUGAUUUAUCAAAUAAUAUUAUAAAAAUAAUUUUGAAACAAAAUGUUUCAAAAUCAAUUUUUGUUUCUUAAAUCGAGCUUAAAUUCACACAAAAUUAGAUGAUUAAAGGCAAAAUGGUUGAAAAAAAGACACAUGCAUAACUACCUACACAUACCCCCAUAAGCAUAUUAAUUUACUUACAAAUGCUUUAUUUUGGUUUAUAUUUUAAUUUGCAACAAAAACCAUUUUAUUUUACUAAAUAACGAGCCAAAUCCAAUCAUGUUGCUCGCCAUGGGCUUAUUUUGUGCAUAUUGUAUAUGCUAAAGUAAGGUGAAAUGGGUGCAAGGGUUAGUUACAAUUUUUUGAAGUAAAUCAAAAAGUACCCAAUUUUAUUUUGUUUUGGUAAAACCAAUUAAAAUCAUGUUUAGUUAGAUCAACAAAAGAUACAACACAAAAGAAGGUUGUAACCGAAAAUAAAAUAAAAUAACAAAAUUUUAGGCUCACUUGUCAGAAGCAAAAGAUACUAACCAAAUUAUACAUAGACACCAAACUAAAGUAGAGUAAGAGAGUUUCUAAAAAAAAAAAAAAAAAACUUACUGAAAAGACAAAAUCCAAAUCGCUUGGUCACAUGAGAAAAACUCAAUGGUCAUAUAACAUUUGUAUUUAACACAUUGCACUUUAAUAUCAUAAACUUCUUCAAAAAUAAGGGGGUUGGGACAACAAAAAGCAAACUUUUUGCUUUGUGGAAACAUAGAAACUUCUUAAAUCCAUGAUUUGAAGAAAUUUUUGAUGUCAAACUAGAUGAUAUUCUAUGCAAAAGAGAGAGGAUAAAAAGAUUAUAAAUAUGAACCGGAUUCUAUAUGGAUCACCGGGUUUAUCGGUUCAGCAGCGAGUUCAAGUCAGAUAUUUCUUAACAUAAAUAUAUAGAUCAAAUUCAAAAAAUAAUAUUUAGUACCAACUAACAUUUUUAUCCAAAAAUCAAAUCCGCAAUUUCAAAGCGCGGACCAAAAUCUAGUUUUGAGAUUAUUUAGCGAGUUGUAGUUAGUUCUUUUCCGUAUUACAGUAUUGUACUACGCACAUACUAUAUGUUUUUGAUUUAAUAUCUUUUCAUAUGCUUGUAGAGAACAGCUUGAACAAUGUGUUUCAUUUUUUCAAUCAGAACUCCGACUAUGUGUUGCUGGUUUUUGUUUGAAAAUAAUUGUUGAGGUGUGACCUUGAUUAAGGUCAAGGUUAUGUCACUUAUGUGCAAUGUUUUUAAACCCGACCUGGACACUGAACCGGACGACUUACCGGGUUGCUGGGUCACUGGAUCGACCGCGGGCGAACCGCGGGUUAAUAAAUGAAUUAAUUUUAUUAUAUAAUAAUAUAUCAGCUAUGUAAAUAAAAAUAUAGAAACUAAAGUUUAAUAUUUUCUAAAUAUUUUUAUAAACAUAAAAUAAUAGUUUGGAUAUAUAUAUUUUUAUGUUAAAUAACAUUUAGAAAAUACUUAACUUUAAUUUCUAUAUUUUUAUUUUCAUUUGAUAUACAAAAUAUCAAAAAAUAAUUUAGACGAUUUAUAAUUUUGUCUAACAAGAUAAGAGUUAUGACAUCUAAAAAAUAAAGACAUAAAAUUUAUAAAUAUUUAAAUGUUUAAUGUGAAUAAUAAAUUAAAUUAUACAAAAUAAACCAAAAGUAAAAAAUCAUUAUAAUAAAUUAUCAAUAAC